CAGUCGCCGCGGUAGUACAGAGGGUGCGAGCGUUAAUCGGAUUUACUGGGCGUAAAGCGUGCGUAGGCGGCUUCUUAAGUCGGAUGUGAAAUCCCUGAGCUUAACUUAGGAAUUGCAUUCGAUACUGGGAAGCUAGAGUAUGGGAGAGGAUGGUAGAAUUCCAGGUGUAGCGGUGAAAUGCGUAGAGAUCUGGAGGAAUACCGAUGGCGAAGGCAGCCAUCUGGCCUAAUACUGACGCUGAGGUACGAAAGCAUGGGGAGCAAACAGGAUUAGAUACCCCCGUAGUCCCUGUCUCUUAUAC
rnacentral:rRNA from 1 species